rnacentral:misc_RNA from 1 species
UUUCCGUAGGUGAACCUGCGGAGGGAUCAUUACAGAGUUAUAGAUCUCGCGUGUAGAUCUCCCACCCGCUGUUAUCGUUACUGCGUUGCUUUGCACGUGCGCCGUGCACGGCUCGGCCGCCGGCCUCGGCUCACGCGAUCGUCGGCGCGGUCCUGACAAACAUGAAAUGUAGUGUCCUCAGAGUUAUAAUUACUAGAUAAAACUUUCAACAACGGAUCUCUUGGCUCUG